rnacentral:lncRNA from 1 species
GCUCAUCUAUAAUUCAGAAUUCAGCAUUCAGAAUUCGGCAUUCAGAAUUCGGAAUUCAGAAUUGGGAAAUCAUUUUUAUCAAAUGUUAUAACAUACAUAUUGUAAUAAUUGAUAUAUGUUUUAGUUGUGAUAUGAAAAUUGUAUGCCUGUCUUUAUGUUAACUACUCCACCUUAUAUAAAUAGUUUAUAUCUAUUUUGUUGUCCAUAAUAUAAUCUAUAGUGGGGGUUGCUUUUCGUCAUAUCUUUGUGCUUUUGCCGUUUUGGAAUCUACCCCUGUAAGUCUCUGGUUCAAAAUGUCCCCCUCAUCACCGUCCUAACAUACACCCCUACGUUGUUUUUCAAUCCUAGUUUCAUAGUCUAUUAACUCCCUCAAAAUAUGUCCAUUACACGAUAAUACAAAUACUACCUAUCCCCAC